rnacentral:misc_RNA from 1 species
UCUCCGUAGGUGAACCUGCGGAGGGAUCAUUACUGAGUGAGGGCUCCGGCUCGACCUCCAACCCUUUGUGAUUAAACCAAUGUUGCCUCGGGGGUGACCCGGACUCGUCUCGGGCGCCCCCGGUGGACCACUUCUAAACACUGCAUCUUUGCGUCGGAUUAACAAGUUUAAUUGAUUAAAACUUUCAACAACGGAUCUCUUGGUUCUGGCAUCGAUGAAGAACGCAGC